rnacentral:rRNA from 1 species
UCCAGACUCCUACGGGAGGCAGCAGUGGGGAAUAUUGCACAAUGGGGGAAACCCUGAUGCAGCGACGCCGCGUGAGUGAAGAAGUAAUUCGCUAUGUAAAGCUCUAUCAGCAGGGAAGAAAAUGACGGUACCUGAGUAAGAAGCCCCGGCUAACUACGUGCCAGCAGCCGCGGUAAUACGUAGGGGGCAAGCGUUAUCCGGAUUUACUGGGUGUAAAGGGAGCGUAGACGGCAGUGCAAGUCAGAAGUGAAAUCCAUGGGCUUAACCCGUGAACUGCUUUUGAAACUGCAGGACUUGAGUGGAGUAGAGGUAGGCGGAAUUCCCGGUGUAGCGGUGAAAUGCGUAGAGAUCGGGAGGAACACCAGUGGCGAAGGCGGCCUACUGGGCUUUAACUGACGCUGAAGCACGAAAGCGUGGGUAGCAAACAGGAUUAGAUACCCCUGUA